CACCCUCCACCUUGCCCCGCCUCUCUCCUCCUCAUUAGCAUUUAAAGCUACAGACCCAGAAAUGGCACGUCCUGAGGAAAGCUCAUUGUGGGACUGGCUCGUAGUGGCUGAAAUUCUGCACCAAGGCUGAAUUUAGGGAAAGAAACUUCAGAUACAGUACUAGGGACUACUUAGGCCUAUAUAAGCCUAUAGGCCUAUAUGUAGCAUAUUUUUUUUUGUAUUAUUCAUCAUGAGUUGUUAUUUUUCCUCAUCAUUUCUCCCUCUGAAGUAUCCUGAUAUUAAUCUCAGUCACUCAUUGUCAUGUCCAGGUCAUGCUAAGCAUCUGAUGGUCUUCAGCGACACAGAGACACCAGAGCUGAGCUGUUUUCAGUGUCAGUUUAUCUGCAGUAAUGUCAGAGGAGCGAGGAAAGGACUCUCUCUCUAAGAUGAGUCUCUCAGAGAAACAGAGUGUAAGAUCAGACUCAGGUGUGUUCAGCUCUGUGUCUGUGAAGAGUGACUGGUCAAAAG